CUCCAGUACUUACUCCACCAUUUGGGUACCCCUGAUUUAACAUAUGAGUUCUUAGCUCUGAUACUGUGCCUAACGAUUUCUCUGUAAAUACUACCCUGUUCAUUCCAUAUAUGAUUCAGACUUUUACACCACAGUCUGUGCAUAGUGCUUAAAAUACAUUUAUGUCCAAUCUGGCUAUACCCCAGCAGCAGAAAGUGCCCAGUCUCAGAUGAAGGUGGCAUUUAAGGUGAAGUUUCCACUGGCACAACAAACUGUUUUU